rnacentral:rRNA from 1 species
AUUCCAGCUCCAAUAGCGUAUAUUAAAGUUGUUGCAGUUAAAAAGCUCGUAGUUGGAUCUCGGGAGCGAGCGAGCGGUCGGGCGUUCAGCCGUGUACUUCUCACUCAUCCUACUGACCGGUACGUGCCCUGUGCUCUUAACCGAGUGUAGGGACCGUCUGGUGCGUUUACUUUGAAAAAAUUAGAGUGCUCAAAGCAGACGAGUCGUCUGAAUAGCCGUGCAUGGAAUAAUGGAAUAGGACCUCGGUUCUAUUUUGUUGGUUUUCGGAAGUCGAGGUAAUGAUUAAGAGGGACAGACGGGGGCAUUCGUACUGGGCCGCCAGAGGUGAAAUUCUUUAACUGGCUCAUGACGAACAACUGCGAAAGCAUUUGCCAAGAAUGUUUUCAUCA